CACGUAGGGGGCAAGCGUUGUCCGGAAUCAUUGGGCGUAAAGAGCUCGUAGGCGGCUCAGUAAGUCGGGUGUGAAACCUCCAGGCUCAACCUGGAGACGCCACCCGAUACUGCUGUGGCUAGAGUCCAGUAGGGGAGUGUGGAAUUCCCGGUGUAGCGGUGAAAUGCGCAGAUAUCGGGAGGAACACCAAUGGCGAAGCAGCUCUCUGGGACGGUACUGACGCUGAGACGCGAAAGCGUGGGGGAGCGAACAGGG
rnacentral:rRNA from 1 species